rnacentral:sRNA from 1 species
AUAAAGAGAGUUGGAUCUUCUUGACCUAGUUCCAAGUUCUGAAUCUCGUCCCACAACUCAUCCGACAUAUUGAACCAAGAAGGAGGGAAUCUAGAAGUUAAUGGGAUGAAUAACAAAGGAAGAAACUGACACUAUAUAUAAAGACUCUAAACGCAAGACAUAACCGACUAACCUUAAGAAGAAAGAAUAUAUAAAGUUGCUAACUCAUAGGAUUGUGCCACGUGUCAAGUCAAACAAUUAGAUGUUUACAUGUGUCAUUCAAAAUUUAACUUUUUUAUUCUCUAAAAAAAUAGAAAAU